rnacentral:rRNA from 1 species
CUCAGGAUGAACGCUAGCUACAGGCUUAACACAUGCAAGUCGAGGGGCAGCAUGAGAUUAGCUUGCUAAUCUUGAUGGCGACCGGCGCACGGGUGAGUAACGCGUAUCCAACCUUCCCCCUACUCAGGCAUAGCCCGGUGAAAACCGGAUUAACUCCUGAUAGUUUCACUAGAUGGCAUCUGACGGUGAAUAAAGCUCAGCGGUAAGGGAUGGGGAUGCGUCUGAUUAGCUUGUUGGCGGGGUAACGGCCCACCAAGGCGACGAUCAGUAGGGGUUCUGAGAGGAAAGUCCCCCACAUUGGAACUGAGACACGGUCCAAACUCCUACGGGAGGCAGCAGUGAGGAAUAUUGGUCAAUGGGCGCGAGCCUGAACCAGCCAAGUAGCGUGCAAGGAAGACGGCCCUAUGGGUUGUAAACUGCUUUUGUAUGGGAAUAAAGUCAGGGACGUGUCCCUGCUUGCAUGUACCAUAAGAAUAAGGACCGGCUAAUUCCGUGCCAGCAGCUGC